CCACGCGCUGAAUUUAA
rnacentral:rRNA from 20 species